UCGAGAAUCUUCGGCAAUGGGCGCAAGCCUGACCGAGCGACGCCGCGUGGAGGACGAAGGCCUUCGGGUUGUAAACUCCUGUCGAGGGGGAAGAAGGCUCCGCAAGGAGCUUGACUGAUCCCUGGAGGAAGCACGGGCUAAGUUCGUGCCAGCAGCCGCGGUAAGACGAACCGUGCGAACGUUAUUCGGAAUCACUGGGCUUAAAGCGCGUGUAGGCGGAUGAGCACGUCUGUCGCUGAAAUCCCCCGGCUCAACCGGGGAACGGGCGUGGAUACGGCUUGUCUGGAGGGGCGUAGGGGGACCUGGAACUUCCGGUGGAGCGGUGAAAUGCGUUGAGAUCGGAAGGAACGCCCGUGGCGAAAGCGAGGUCCUGGACGCCUACUGACGCUGAGACGCGAAAGCCAGGGGAGCGAACG
rnacentral:rRNA from 1 species